rnacentral:tRNA from 1 species
GGACGGGUAGCUCAGGUAGUAGAGCAGCGGACUGAAAAUCCGCGUGUCGAGGGUGCGACUCCCUCCCUGUCCA